rnacentral:misc_RNA from 1 species
UUGAUUCGUUUGUGUUUUCUCUGAGAUGCCAGCGCAAGAGCCAAGAGUUGGGGGGCCGUCGGCGGGCUGAGCGCCCCGGUUCCGCUAGGGACCUGGGGCACCCGCCGAGGCAACGAUGGGUAGGUUCACAGUGGUUUUACGGGAGUUUAACGUCCUAUAAUGAUCCCUCCGCUGGUUCACCAACGGAGA